rnacentral:snRNA from 1 species
GUGCUUGCUUCAGCAGCACAUAUACUAAAAUUGGAAUGCUAUAGAGAAGAUUAGCAUGGCCCCUGCACAAAGAUGACAUGCAAAUUCGUGAAGCAUUUCAUAAUUUU